GCCGGUGGGCGGGCAGAGGCGGCGCGGCGGGAAGGCGGGCCGGGCCGGGCCAGGCCGGGCCGGAGCGGGCGCUGCCCGGUGGGCUCCAUGGCGCUGCCGGUGCUGUCGAGCUCGGGGGUGAAGUUCCGGCGGGUCCUGGCGCACUUCCCUCAGGAGCUCAGCCUGGCUUUCGCCUACGGGUCCGGAGUCUUCCGGCAGGCGGGGGCCUCGGCCGGGCACGGCGAGAACAAUAUGCUGGACUUUGUGUUUGCUGUUGAUGACUCUGUGACCUGGCAUAUGAUGAACUUGUUAAAGAACAGGAGUCAUUAUUCCUUCCUAAAACUUUUUGGGCCAAAACAGAUAAGUAGUAUACAGAGCUAUGGAGCAGGGAUUUACUACAAUACUUUAGUGCCAUGUAAUGGUAGGAUGAUAAAAUAUGGUGUAAUUAGCACUGAUACCCUGAUUGAUGAUUUACUUCACUGGAAAACCCUCUAUGUCGCUGGACGCCUCCAAAAACCGGUGAAAAUACUGACACAGAAUGAGAAUAGCAAGCUGCAAGCUGCUCUUGUUAGCAAUCUGAAGAGCGCAGUCACAGCAGCCUUUCUCAUGUUACCAGAAAGUUUCUCUGAAGAAGACCUCUAUAUGCAGAUUGCAGGACUCUCCUAUUCUGGUGAUUUCAGAAUGGUAAUAGGAGAAGACAGAUCGAAAGUGCAGAACAUAGUGAAACCUAAUGUUCCCCAUUUUCAGAAGCUGUACAGUAACAUAUUACAGGACUGCCCUCAAGUGGUAUAUAAGCACCAUCUGGGAAGGCUAGAGAUUGAUAAAAGUCCAGAAGGUCAAUUUACGCAACUAAUGGCUUUGCCAAGGACUCUGCAGCAAAAGAUAACUUAUCUGGUAGACCCUCCUGGAAAAAACAGAGACGUGGAAGAAAUUUUACUGCAGGUUGCCCAUGACCCUGACUGUGGAUUUGUGGUGCAUCAAGGCAUUUCAGGAAUUGUGAGAUCUUCCAGUAUAGUGCAGAGUGCUAAAACCAUACUAACAGCUGGGGCAAAGAAAUCUGUAACUUACAGUAUGAAGAAAUUAUAUAAAAUGACAAAGGGAUGGUUAAGGAAGACAUCUUGAGUCUUGACAUACUGUGUAUGGGUAAAUAAAUGGUAUGCUUGGUGGAAAAUUCUUAAGAACAGAGAAUACUGAUCCCAGUGGUAGAAACAGACCCCAACAGAUACAAAGCUUUCGGACAAAUGAACAGCACGUGAAAAGAUUCAGGAUGGAAUCAUGACCUUCUGAAUGAAAUAGUUACCAGGUAAGAAGUGCAGUGCUGGCCAAACUGCCUGCUUUAGUCAUCUAAUGAGGUAACAGCUUUUAUUUUUUAUUCCAAAUGAAGUACACUGUAGCAGAAACUGCAUAUGGGCAGGAGCAUGGACAAAAGACUGAUUCUUACACCAGCAAUUUGGUGUUAGCAAAUUUUUAGUAGGGCUCAUUGUAUUAUUCAAAGUCCUCAUCUGUGAAAGUCUUAGGAUACAAAAAAAAAUUUGGAAACUGAAAUUGAAAGCACAUAAUAUAUUGAGUCCCUGUGGGAAACAGGACAGUUUCAAAAAUAACCCUCUGCAUGAAUAGUUAGCAGAAUUAUUUAUUUAUUUAUUUUUAAUGUAACUGAAUUUUAUAUGUUCAGGGCUUUCUUUUGUAGUUGUGUUUUACUUUCUUUUAAGGCUGUAUGGGAAAGGGUCUAAGUAAGCCUUAAGUCCUAAAGGAGAGGAUGCUUAACACUGGUGAGGAUUUGUCCUCGACAAAGUCAACGAGAUCACUUUUAGUGAAAUUGUAUUUUUCUCUGUGUGUGUCUGAAUUCUGUUGCUGUAGUCAACUUUUAGGAAAUGAAUAAUGUAAGCAGAAAACUAUAGUUGUGUUUAUGUUUUUAAAAGAUGCCGGUUGCUGCACACUGGAUUGUUAGAAAUCUAUUCCUUGUACUGAAUACAUUACCAGAUAAUUAAGGCUAACAACUACAAUGUUAUUCCAAAUUUUGCCUCAUUUAUCUCCUCUUUAUGUCUUUAAAUGAAAAUGUAACUAUUGCAUUUUUUUAAUUCCCAUAAUUCCCUCAAGGAUGCAGGCUUUCCUAGGUGCUGUAUAGAAAUGUAUAAGCUGAAAGGAAAAAAAAAAAAAAAAAAGGACAUCUGUGGUGCACAGAUGGAGCAAAAACUUAUCCACAGAAUAAGCAAUAUGACCAAAUAAAAAAAAAUAGUAGGCAGUGGCAAAACCAGACACUCUUACCUUUUAAGGAGCUCAUUCCUUCCUCCUGUAAUAGUGCAGUUAAGUGAAGUUUUACAUCAUGAGCCAUACUGGGAAUUAAUAUCAUUGAACAAAACCAUCCUGACCAACCUGUGCCUUUUUGGGGGGUGUUUUGUUUUUUACACGAAAAGGUGAGGAUGGGGCUUUUAAAACCUGGUUAAAUAACAGCACCACAGGAUGUGAAACCACUGGCUCAUAAAUUGUAACUGCUUCAAGCACUGGUUGAGAGAGAUCAUGUGUCAUAAGAUUGCCCAACAUCUGGUUGAGAAUUCUUACUAGCAAAGCAUUUAAUCACAUGCUUGACUUAAAAUGCAUACAUGACUACCAUUGUUGAAUAGGUAUGUAAUUCCUUUUUGAGACUAAUGGCAACAUAUAGCUUGGGCUGCUUGAAUCUACAGAAGUAAAAAGAAAAUGUAAAAAAACCUCUGUGAUGUCUUAGUACAGCUGGACACUGCCGAACCCCUCCUGGGGUAUGGCUGCAGCAUAAGUGAAGGCUGGAUUCUAACAGCUCAUUCCCUUUCAUGGUUUUUAUUUGUUACCUUGAAGUUGUGGCUGUUUUCCCUUUUAUUGAGAAGAGGGUACCUUGGAGAUGUGUGUGUGCUAGAACUUUAAAUAGAAUAUCCUAUGAGGAUAUCUUGCAUUGUAAGAGGCUCAGUGUUUCUCCUUCUCUGCAGUUCCUCACUACUGCUAGGUUUGGGUAUAAACGGCAGUUAAAUCUAGAAUUCUUCAAAUGAUGAAAUGCAGUUGUAACUCUAGGGAAGCAUUUAAAAGAGCACCUUUCUUUUAAAAGCCAUUAGCAAUACAGUUAAAGAUAAUGUUUUGAAUAUUAAAGUAAGACAUAUUUAAAAGUGGUUUUGGUGUUUCAGAAGGUGCUUGCUGCUGAAAUGGUGGUUCGAAACAUUAAAAGUCAAUUACAAGUCAAUCUGAUGUGUGAGAAUGAGUUGGCCUCAGCUGUAGCGAAGCAGCUAUCUUCAUUCUGAACCUUGCUAGCUAAGCAAGGGCAUUUAUUCAAGAAAUAAUGUUCUCACAGCAAAAAUAGGAAUGUACUGCUUGCUGUUUAGCAGCUAAUUAAACAUUUUUAUGUGCAGCAGAUGCUGUAUGGCGUCAAACGCUCCCAACCUUUAAACUGUUUGUCAUGCUGCCAGUGGAUUGGUCUUUCCCUUUACAGGUGUUACUUUACUGCAGAGGGUGCCUGUAAUCUGAACUGGCCAUGUUUGUCUUGCGUGGCUGAAAUACCCAUUGCAUAUCUCGAUUUGGCUUUAUGAACUUUCUUUGUGUAUAGCAAUAUAAUGGGUCAUUUCUUGCUCUUUGGAGAGAGUUUCACAAAUCCCAGUUUAAUAGUUCCUAGUUUACUCCAUCUGUUGAUACAUUGCCAGUAUUCAAGUCUGUGCAGUAAAUCUCUGAGACGUAAGAAAGUCCUUCCUCAUCAUCCAUAUAGGCUGAAAUCUUAAACUGUAUUCUGUUCUGUAAAUCAUUUAUCUUUCUACUUUUUUAAAAAGUGGCCUACCUUUCCCCUUGAGGCCAUUGGUCUUGAAUGUAUUUAUUUUUUUGGCAGAGAGCCAUGAAUGAAUCAUAGCCUAGAGCAGCUUACAGUCUGAGCUCCUCUCUAUUGUUAAUAUAAAAUACUUUAUGCAGUUGUUACAACGUUUUGCUAUGUAAAACUUUUAAGAGAAGAGAGAUUGAUUUCAGACUUGUUAGCUGCCUUUGAAGUUCCUCAACAGUAUGUGGAAAUGAUUUCUUAUGGUCAUACAGCUGUAAUCCACUAAAAUAACUAGUGAUUGUUGCAUGGGAAGUUAGUACAUGGGAAUAUGUUACUAACUCUUUGUCGUAAUGAGGUGUGUUUGUUCUUUCAUGAAAAAUAGUCACUUUAGCUUUUCAUUCCAUUUGUAACUUUCCUGUUUAUACCUUCCUGCUCCAUUUCCAUACUGCUUUAUUGUUUCUCUUCUUGACUUAAUUCUCAAGUCUUUCGUUCUGUUCUUCAGACAUCCCUCUGUUCUGGUUUGGCUGUUCCACCAUGGAUAUUGUUUCAUGCUCCAUCCCCUUUUUUCCUGUGUAACAGUGCUUUCUUUAAAGGCAACCAGGCAGAUGAUUUACUCCCUGAUGUCUUAAAAGACUUCUUUGUAAUGAAGAGCCUGGACCCAAUCAAACUAUUAAGGAUUUCUGUAGGUGAGUCAGCACCAUGGGCCUAGCUGGCUCUGAGAUCGACAGUGCCAGUGAGGUAUGUAACUCUAUCUCAUGCUUCAGAGGGAAUAAACUAGAUGACAGGAUGAAUGGGAAAUCAAAAUUUGACUGGACACAUAACUGUAGAUUCUGGUUUCCACUUCUCUUUACAGUCCUUAAUCUCAGUAUUGUGUCCCUUUAUUAACUUGCCUACCGUUGUGAGCAAUCCAUUUGGCUAGCAGUAUGGUGUUUGGCUGGUCCUAGACUUCAAGGUUUGAGGAGUGCAUAAAACUGUACCACACAGGAUGCCGACUUCCUCCAUCAACAUGUUCUGGUAUUGGGGCUUACAUCCUAGAUGAUGAGAUUGUGCACAUUCUGCACACUCACGGCUAACUCUGACCCUGCAUCCUUGGAUUAGAAAAUUGCCAAGUAGAAGAGUGAGUCAGUAGCAGUUUGACAGUUGGAAAGUGAGUUUGUACAGACAACAGUAGAUGAUGAAACUACAUCACUGUGCUUUAACUUCUUACAAAAUUAAGUGGAUUAUAUUUAAAGGUUGUACUUGCAUAGAUGCUGUUAAAGCAAAGCAUCUGUUUUCUUCUGCUUUACUUUUAUUUAAAGAAUGUAUCUUCUCUGUUCCUUGUCUAGUUUAUUUGUGACUAAUUUCAGCAGGAUUCUCUUCCCAAUAUAAAAUUGAAAAUGAUUGUGUUAUUUGUAUU